AAGUCGUAACAAGGUCUCCGUAGGUGAACCUGCGGAGGGAUCAUUACACAACAAAAUAUGAAGGCCCUGGCUUCGCGGCCGGCUGAAAUAUUUUUUCACCCAUGUCUUUUGCGCACUUGUUGUUUCCUGGGCGGGUUUGCCCGCCACCAGGACCAAACCAUAAACCUUUUUUUUUUAUGCAGUUACCAUCAGCGUCAGUAAAAACAAUGUAAUUAAUUACAACUUUCAACAACGGAUCUCUUGGUUCUGGCAUCGAUGAAGAACGCAGCGAAAUGCNAUACGUAGNGUGAAUUGCANAAUUCAGNGAAUCAUCGAAUCUUUGAACGCACNUUGCGCCCUUUGGUAUUCCAAAGGGCAUGCCUGUUCGAGCGUCAUUUGUACCUUCAAGCUUUGCUGGGUGUUGGGCGUUUUUGUCUCCCUCUUUCUGGGAGACUCGCCUUAAAACGAUUGGCAGCCGGCCUACUGGUUUCGGAGCGCAGCACAUAAUUUGCGCUUUGUAUCAGGAGAAAAGGACGGUAAUCCAUCAAGACUCUANAUUUUUAACUUUUGACCUCGGAUCAGGNAGGGAUACCCGCUGAACUUAAGCAU
rnacentral:rRNA from 1 species